rnacentral:lncRNA from 1 species
AUAGUCAAUUGUGAGCACUAACACUAAGAUCUGAAUUUUCAGUGUUUUCCUAAUAAUCAACAGUGUAAAUCAUUUGUUUACCCUUCAUUAUUCAUCCAUAGUCUACAGAAGAACCCAAGAUUACCUGAUAUUUAUUCAUCAUUCCACUGUUUGCAUUCCCCUACCAAAUUUAUGUUCUGUUUAAGUUGUGUUUAGUUUCUUUCUUUUUUUUUUAUUUUCUUUGGACAUUUGGAUUGAUAUAUAACUAAAUUUAUUGGAUAAACACUCGGGCUCAGAACUAAAACUGAUUUGAAAUACAAUUUUUUGUAUUAGAUUUUUCACUUGAGAAAGAAAGGGGAGCAUUGUACUUGCCUUUGUCUAUGGAUAUGUAUUUACCUUAGUCCAAAGUUGAGCUACACAUAUACCAUAUUCUAAAAAUCACCAGUUGCGUGCAAUUUUUUUGCAGUAUCAAUAGAAAAUACUAAGAAGAAUGUGUUAAAUGAGUCACCUGCAAGUAAAAUCACACAGAACACACAUGCCCAAUCAACUCCAUGAGGCUAUGCCCAAUCAAUUCAUUUUACCAUUAUACAUUUUCUUUUAUGUGGCUAUGAUCAACCCCUAAGGUACAUCAUAUCAUAAAGCCAUAUGUUUAUUUCUUAAGUUUAUGCUUUAUAUCUCAAAAGGCCAAUACUUUUGUCCCAUCCUUCAUACGAACUCCCUUAUAUCAGGAAUAACAGAAACAAUAUAUUUCGCUUAUUCAAGACCCAAAGAAGCCCAAAAAAAUUAUAUAUACUAAACAAAAACACCCUUCAGUUGUCAAAAAAUAAAUAAGAAGUCAUUCAUGAAAUUUCAAGACAAAAUCACCCAAUCAAAACCCAAAACAUCCUGAAUUACCGAUUACAUUGAGAAACAGAAAUUUCAGACCCCUAAUUAGACAAAGGGGGGGAGGGGGAAGGGUUUUAAAGAAACGAAUCCUAAUCAAACUGCUUAUAAGAGACUCAUACUACUCCAUUUUGAUUUCCCAGAAAUGUUCAAGAAAUAUACAGUCAAUCAACCAAAUUAGAGAAACAUAUCAAAUAGAAAAAGAAAUCAAAAAUGGGGGCACCAAUGAUUUUUUGAGAAACUACCAAUUUCAAAAAAUAAAUGAGAGUGCCUAAGAAAACGCCUAAUCCGCCUACGAAAACGCCUAGGCGGCCUAGGUGCUAGGCACCCCUCCACCGCCUAGGUUAGAAUUUGUGUUUUUAUUUCUUAUUUUACCUUCUGGGUUUCUUUUUGGAUUAUGUACAGACCUCUAAGAGAUUUGAAAGGAAUUCCUGGUGCCAAAUAUCUAGUUGUAUGCUUGACUGGAUACCAACGCGAGAAGACAUUAUGGUUUGAAGCUACCCAUUAUGUUCUUAAUUUUAUUAUAAUCAAACAUUGUAAAUCAUCUCUGACCAUUGAAAGUUAUGAUCCUGUGGCAUCUUACCUUUCCGUUUUCUAUCCAGACAAUGGUUAGUUUGAUGGGAGCAAACAUUUCAAUGCCGUUGGUAGCAAACAAAGUUACUCAUCUUAUAUGCUACAAAUUUGAAGGUAUGCUAUCAUUUUAUUGUUUGCCCAGAUAGAUUAUUGGAUAGUUACAGGUGAUAUGCAUUUGUAAUUUGGCAUGCAAUUUAUGUUUUCCAUAAUGUUACAUAUAUACACACAAACACACGUAAAUACAGAGAGAGAAAAAAAGCCAAGAAAUCUAUAUUCAACAACCAAAAUGGGAAAACAUAUGAAACAGAAAAAAGGAGAAAUCAGAGCAGUAAACUAACUAAUAUCAUUUACUGGUAAAAGUGAAAGAAGGAAAUAACUUGAGCAAAUCAGUAGCCACAUGUCUUUACCCCAUAUCAUGUGUAUUUUGUCAUUUUUUGUGUUAUGGACAGGAGAGAUUCAUAUAGAAAAUGAAGAAUAGGAUAUCUCUAGCCUAAAAAAAUCUUGAAUAUAGGAACUCGAGAAGACCUUGCUUUGAAUCAUAGUGAUUUAUUUAAUGAAGCAUCGAAAUUAACGACUUUAGAGGUCUGUUCAAAACAUUACUAUUCAACUUCGCACUAUUUCUUUCUAAUUUCUCACACCACUAUUAAAGCUCUGGUAAAAUUUAUAAUGAAAGGGAAAAAAAAGGAAAGAAGAAUUCAAGCACAAAUGCCGGAAUUAAGAAGACUCGUGCCGCUGCAAAUAUCUACUAAUGCCAGAAUUAAGGAGAAAUUUGCUAUUAACUUAAAGAAGAAAAGGAGCAGAAUAUUAAUUAUCUCCUCUGCCUCCACCAUCACGGCCGCCGCUUCCACCAUAUCCUCCUACCCUUCCACCAUAACCCCUUCCCCCACUACCACUUCCACCGUAUUCACUGUCAAUUCCUCCAUAGCCUCCACCGCUGGCACCAUAUCCUCCGCCUCCUUCACUUCCGCCAUAUCCACCACCGUAACUACCUCCGCCUCCACCUCCACCUCCACCUCCACCUCCACCUCCACCUCCGUAACCUCCGCCGCUUGACGGUGGAGCAGAUCCGUUGCCUUUGUGACUGCCAGACAUAAUCUAGGGUUAACGAUGAAGAGAAAAAGGAUUGGAAAGACUCUAAAGUUACCUGGCUAGCUUAGUGAUUGGUUUCUCCCUUCUUUCUAGCGGACUCUCUCUCUUCCUCGCUGUGUAUGCUACGAUUUUGGAAGCUAAAUAAUUUCAAUCGAUGGUUAGAUUUAUCCCAAUUAUUAUUAUUAUUAUUAUUAUUAUUAUUAUUAUUAUUAUUAUUAUUAUUAUUAUUAUCUAUAUCUACUAUAUCUACUACUACUAUUACUACUACCAUUAUUAUUUUACUAUAGUCAAUUGUGAGCACUAACACUAAGAUCUGAAUUUUCAGUGUUUUCCUAAUAAUCAACAGUGGAAAUCAUUUGUUUACCCUUCAUUAUUCAUCUAUAGUGUACAGAAGAACCCAAGAUUACCUGAUAUUUAUUCAUCAUGCCACUGUUUGCAUUCCCAUACCAAAUUUAUGUUCUGUUUAAGUUGUGUUUAGUUUCUUUUUUGUUUUUUUUUUCUUUGGACAUUUGGAUUGAUAUAUAACUAAAUUUAUUGGAUAAACACCUGGGCUCAGAACUAAAACUGAUUUGAAAUACAAUUUUUUGUAUUAGAUUUUUCACUUGAGAAAGAAAGGGGAGCAUUGUACUUGCCUUUGUCUAUGGAUAUGUAUUUACCUUAGUCCAAAGUUGAGCUACACAUAUA